CGGGUGAGUAACGCGUGGGCAACCUCGCCCCAUUACCGGGGAUAACAGCCGGAAACGGCUGCUAAUACCGCAUAAGCGCACAGCGCCGCAUGGCGCAGUGUGAAAAACUCCGGUGGUAUGGGAUGGGCCCGCGUCUGAUUAGCCAGUUGGCGGGGCAGCGGCCCACCAAAGCGACGAUCAGUAGCCGACCUGAGAGGGUGACCGGCCACAUUGGGACUGAGACACGGCCCAAACUCCUACGGGAGGCAGCAG
rnacentral:rRNA from 1 species